rnacentral:rRNA from 1 species
CCGUAAAAAGGGACGGCCCGCCGCAGGAACCCUAAACUCUGUUUUUAGUGGAACUUCUGAGUAUAAAAAACAAAUAAAUCAAAACUUUCAACAACGGAUCUCUUGGUUCUGGCAUCGAUGAAGAACGCAGCAAAAUGCGAUAAGUAAUGUGAAUUGCAGAAUUCAGUGAAUCAUCGAAUCUUUGAACGCACAUUGCGCCCGCCAGUAUUCUGGCGGGCAUGCCUGUUCGAGCGUCAUUUCAACCCUCAAGCCCAGCUUGGUGUUGGGAGCUGCAGUCCUGCUGCACUCCCCAAAUACAUUGGCGGUCACGUCGAGCUUCCAUAGCGUAGUAAUUUACACAUCGUAACUGGUAAUCGUCGCGGCCACGCCGUUAAACCCCAACUUCUGAAUGUUGACCUCGGAUCAGGUAGGAA